CCAAAAUUAAGUCGAACAGGCCGAACCGAUUGAACCGGACCCAUGGGCCUAACUCAGCCCACAUAUCAUUAAUGAAGCCAGCUUCCCCUCUCUUCUUCCUCUUCAUUCACGCUGCACAACUGAGGAAGAAGAGGGAAAGCUUUUCAACCUAACGCCACAAAUCAAUCCACCAUAACUUCUUGCUCCGAGUUCCGAUCGCUGCACCGUUUGCGGUCACGCGUUCAUCAUGUCGAGCUCUACGAAUCUACCGGAACAAUUUUAUUGGUUCGAUUUAGCUUGCGGAGCUUAUCAGACUUGGAUGGUUUUGUCCGUAGGUAUGAUGCAGGUUGAGAGGCACCUCGCUAGGCGUCUGGACUUCUGAAGCAAAGUGGUUACUGGGUUUCCUUUUUAUGUAUAUUUAUGUAUAUAUGUACUUAGUUUCCUCUCCAGACAACAUGUUCUUUUGAUCCUCUUAGAGGCUUAUGGAGAAAUAGGGUUUUGUUUAUGUAAAUUUGGAUUUUGGACAUGUAUAUAUAUAUGUAAAUAUUCUCCGGCCAGCCUUGACUUCGCAUGCUGCGUCAGGAGCUAGUUGUUCUGUAUCCUUGAUACUCUA